rnacentral:rRNA from 1 species
UUAAGCCAUGCAUGUCUAAGUACAAACUCUAGCACAGUGAAACUGCGAAUGGCUCAUUAGAUCAGUUAUGGUUCCUUAGAUGAUACAACUCCUACUUGGAUAACUGUGGUAAUUCUAGAGCUAAUACAUGCACUAAAGCUCCGACCCUUUCUGAGGGGAAGAGCGCGUUUAUCAGUUCGAAGCCAGCCGAGCCGCAAGGCUCGUCUCUUUGGUGACUCUGGAUAACUCUAGCGGAUCGCACGGCCUCGAGCCGGCGACGCAUCUAUCAAGUGUCUGCCCUAUCAGACUGUCGAUGGUAAGUGCUAUGCUUACCAUGGUGAUAACGGGUAACGGGGAAUCAGGGUUCGAUUCCGGAGAGGGAGCAUGAGAAACGGCUACCACAUCCAAGGAAGGCAGCAGGCGCGCAAAUUACCCAAUCUCGAUACGAGGAGGUAGUGACGAAAAAUAACAAUACGGGACUCUUUCGAGGCCCCGUAAUUGGAAUGAGUGUACUCUAAACGUGUGCACGAGGAUCUAUUGGAGGGCAAGUCUGGUGCCAGCAGCCGCGGUAAUUCCAGCUCCAAUAGCGUAUAUUAAAGCUGUUGUGGUUAAAAAGCUCGUAGUUGGAUCUCAGGGUCGUUCGCGUCGGUCCCUUGAUGCAAUGGCUNGGGUACUGCGCGGUGUCGUCCCCCUUGCCAGACUUCUCAAAAAGGUUGUUCUUGACUGAGUGCCCUGCUNGAGUGGCUGGAGAGUUUACUUUGAAAAAAUUAGAGUGUUCAAAGCAGGCACAGCCCGCCUGUAUAAUGGUGCAUGGAAUAAUGGAAUAGGNCCCCGGAUCNUAUUUUGNUGGUUUUUGGAGCUCAGGGGUAAUGAUUAAGAGGAACAGGGCGGGGGCAUCCGUAUUACGGCGUUGAGUGGAGCCUGCGGCUUAAUUUACUCAACACGGGAAAACUCACCUGGUCCGGACACUGGAAGGAUUGACAGAUUGAAAGCUCUUUCUUGAUUCAGUGGGUGGUGGUGCAUGGCCGUUCUUAGUUGGUGGAGUGAUUUGUCUGGUUAAUUCCGAUAACGAACGAGACUCUAGCCUGCUAACUAGUUCGCCGACAGCUCGUUGUCGCGCGGCGCCAUUUCGGUGGCAAACUUCUUAUAGGGACAGGUGGCGUAUAGCCACACGAAGUAGAGCAAUAACAGGUCUGUGAUGCCCUUAGAUGUCCAGGGCCGCACGCGCGCUACACUGAAAGAAUCAACGUGGAUGCCCACCUGCUCCCAGAGGAGUGGGAAACCCGAUGAAUCUCUUUCGUGAUGGGGAUUGGGGCUUGUAAUUAUUCCCCAUGAACGAGGAAUUCCCAGUAAGCGUCAGUCAUCAGCUGGCGUUGAUUACGUCCCUGCCCUUUGUACACACCGCCCGUCGCUACUACCGAUUGAAUGGUUUAGUGAGACCCUCGGACUGGAAUCCGUUUGCUGCUUUCGGGUGGCGGACAGGGGACCGGAAAGACGGUG